rnacentral:rRNA from 1 species
AACGAACGCUGGCGGCAUGCCUAACACAUGCAAGUCGAACGAAGCCUUCGGGCUUAGUGGCGCACGGGUGCGUAACGCGUGGGAAUCUGCCCUUGGGUUCGGAAUAACAGUUAGAAAUGACUGCUAAUACCGGAUGAUGUCUUCGGACCAAAGAUUUAUCGCCCAAGGGUGAGCCCGCGUAGGAUUAGGUAGUUGGUGGGGUAAUGGCCCACCAAGCCGACGAUCCUUAGCUGGUCUGAGAGGAUGAUCAGCAACACUGGGACUGAGACACGGCCGAGAAUCCUACGGGAGGCAGCAGUGGGGAAUAUUGGACAAUGGGCGAAAGCCUGAUCCAGCAAUGCCGCGUAAGUUAUGUAGGUCUUAGAGUUGUAAAGCUCUUUUAACAGGGAUGAUAAUGACAGUACCUAGAGAAUAAGCUCCGGCUAACUCCGUGCCAGCCGCCGCAGUAA